GACGAACGCUGGCGGCGUGCUUAACACAUGCCAGUCGAACGGAAGGCCCUGCUUUUGUGGGGUGCUCGAGUGGCGAACGGGUGAGUAACACGUGAGUAACCUGCCCUUGACUUUGGGAUAACUUCAGGAAACUGGGGCUAAUACCUGAUAGGAGCUCCUGCUGCAUGGUGGGGGUUGGAAAGUUUCGGCGGUUGGGGAUGGACUCGCGGCUUAUCAGCUUGUUGGUGGGGUAGUGGCUUACCAAGGCUUUGACGGGUAGCCGGCCUGAGAGGGUGACCGGCCACAUUGGGACUGAGAUACGGCCCAGACUCCUACGGGAGGCAGCAGUGGGGAAUAUUGCACAAUGGGCGGAAGCCUGAUGCAGCAACGCCGCGUGCGGGAUGACGGCCUUCGGGUUGUAAACCGCUUUCGCCUGUGACGAAGCGUGAGUGACGGUAAUGGGUAAAGAAGCACCGGCUAACUACGUG
rnacentral:rRNA from 1 species